rnacentral:rRNA from 1 species
AGCGGCGGACGGGUGAGUAAUGCUUGGGAAUAUGCCUUAGGGUGGGGGACAACAGUUGGAAACGACUGCUAAUACCGCAUAACGUCUACGGACCAAAGGGGGCUUCGGCUCUCGCCCUUAGAUUAGCCCAAGUGGGAUUAGCUAGUUGGUGAGGUAAUGGCUCACCAAGGCGACGAUCCCUAGCUGGUUUGAGAGGAUGAUCAGCCACACUGGAACUGAGACACGGUCCAGACUCCUACGGGAGGCAGCAGUGGGGAAUAUUGCACAAUGGGCGCAAGCCUGAUGCAGCCAUGCCGCGUGUGUGAAGAAGGCCUUAGGGUUGUAAAGCACUUUCAGUAAGGAGGAAAGGUUAGUAGUUAAUACCUGCUAGCUGUGACGUUACUUACAGAAGAAGCACCGGCUAACUCCGUGCCAGCAGCCGCGGUAAUACGGAGGGUGCGAGCGUUAAUCGGAAUUACUGGGCGUAAAGCGUACGCAGGCGGUUUGUUAAGCGAGAUGUGAAAGCCCCGGGCUCAACCUGGGAACUGCAUUUCGAACUGGCAAACUAGAGUAUGAUAGAGGGUGGUAGAAUUUCAGGUGUAGCGGUGAAAUGCGUAGAGAUCUGAAGGAAUACCGAUGGCGAAGGCAGCCACCUGGGUCAAUACUGACGCUCAUGUACGAAAGCGUGGGGAGCAAACGGGAUUAGAUACCCCGGUAGUCCACGCCGUAAACGAUGUCUACUAGGAGCUGGGGUCUUCGGACAACUUUUCCAAAGCUAACGCAUUAAGUAGACCGCCUGGGGAGUACGGCCGCAAGGUUAAAACUCAAAUGAAUUGACGGGGGCCCGCACAAGCGGUGGAGCAUGUGGUUUAAUUUCGAUGCAACGCGAAGAACCUUACCUACACUUGACAUACAGAGAACUUAC